ensembl:misc_RNA Metazoa_SRP Metazoan signal recognition particle RNA
GCUGUGGCACUGGCCUGUAAUCCCAGCUACUUGGGAGGCUGAGGCCCGAGGAUUGCUUGAGUCCAGGAAUUCUGGGCUGUCGUGUGCUAUGCCGAUCGGGUGUCUGUACUAAGUUCGGCAUCAAUAUGGUGACCUCCUGGGAGUGGGGACCACCAGGUUGCCUAAGGAGGGGUGAAGCAGCCCAGGUCGGAAACAGAGCAGGUCAAAACUCCGGUGCUGAUCACAAAAGAUUUUUUAAACAUCAGCCUUGAGCACUAGCUUGAAGUCAGUGUAGGAGCUAGCAG